UACGUAGGGUGCAAGCGUUGUCCGGAAUUACUGGGCGUAAAGAGCUCGUAGGUGGUUUGUCGCGUUGUUCGUGAAAACUCACAGCUCAACUGUGGGCGUGCAGUCGAUACGGGCAGGCUAGAGUUCGGCAGGGGAGACUGGAAUUCCUGGUGUAGCGGUGAAAUGCGCAGAUAUCAGGAGGAACACCGGUGGCGAAGGCGGGUCUCUGGGCCGAUACUGACGCUGAGGAGCGAAAGCGUGGGGAGCGAACAGG
rnacentral:rRNA from 1 species